UAAAAUAUUACCAAAUGAUACAAACAUUAACACAAGAAUCUCAGUCACUGUUGGUGCUUCUCUAUUCUUUCAGGUCUUCUUUUAAAAACUAUCCUAAAGCAUAUGUCAGAUGCUAGAAAGCCUUCACACCAUCAAAAAAUGACUAUAUAUUCUGCGCAUGCAACCACUAUUGUUGCCUUACAGAUGGCACUCCAUGUUUUCAAUGGGAAAUUGCCUCCUUACAGUGCUUGCCAUUUCUUUGAACUCUACCGGGAAAAAAAUGGGCAAGUACCUGCAAGAUGGACUGCUAGCAUAUACUUUUUUGCUUAAAGAAAUGUAUUGCUACCCCAGACUAACUAAACUGGAUACACAAGGUUCACCACACAGAAAAAGAUCAUAGAUUGAUUUUAGUUAUAAUUGGACUCAAUUUAGCAAUUACUGACAGCAGCAGAACCACAUCAUUGCAGCCUAAGAUCUUUCUCUAUUGCUCCAUUAUGGUUGAGGGCUUUAAUCUACCCUCUUCAUCUGUUUAACUCCUUGGCUCUCUAUCAGUAAGACAAUAUACAUGCAAAUGGAUACUAACCAUUUAUUGUUUAAGAAGAUCUCUUCAGAGUAUUAACGAUAUAUAUUAUUAGCAAGACAAGCUUCAUCCCAGAGUACAAUCACUACGUGGAAAAUCUCUGUGGUUCCACACCUAACUUUAUUUUGAUCAUUCUGUAUUUUUAAGCAGGCAAUACACCAUAGAAAUGUACUAUCGGAAUAAUACUUUGAGAGAUCCCCACCCUCUUACUCUCCCUGGAUGCAGUUUUCGCUGUCCACUGGAGAGAUUUACUCACUUGGUCUCCCCGGUCCUCGUACAACAUUGGACAAGAGAAUGUAAGAUAUAGGACAUAAAAUGAGGUGUUGCCUCCAGGAAAUUCAGCGUGAUUAGCUUUCAAAACAGUUCCUCCCACACUGUGAUGUUACUACAGUCUGAAAUUUCUCAUUAACUUCCAUCAGUAUGAACAACAGUCUCCUGAUCUCUAUCAGGAAAAAAACAUUCAUCAGUACAGCAAAGCAAAAUUACAGAAAGCAGUGACUUACCCUUCCUUAACAGUAGCUUUCUUUUAUAAAGUAUGAAACCCAAAUUGAGUAUUUUUUCUAGGUUUAUUCAUUGCAAGUGAUCUGACAGUACUAAUUCAAGAAUAUAAUGUAAAUUAUAGUGUUUUGAAGGGCUAUAGCCUUAACGUAGAGCAAAACUGGAAAAUACUUCUGAAGGAGUGUUGUUCCCUUUUGAAGACUGGGACAACUUCCAGAACUGGUGAGGGAAGCAGUGCUCCAAAAGAAGCCAGCAAGUGGGGAGUCAUUCCAGUUUCCUCAUACUUUAUAUUAUUCAAGAAAUAAUUAUUUUACACAAACAGAUCUCAGAAGCUACAAAAAUAACGAUAAUGGCUGUUUACUUAGUGAAUACUUGUCCUUCUUUGUGUGCAGGGAGCGGGGUGAGUGGUUUGUUUUUUUUCUUUGUCUAUAUAUACAAAUAUUACACCUGUAUACAGAAGAAAGGUGAGAGUUAUGGACCAUGGGGCUACACCUAAAAGCAGCCUACAAACAAUCAGUCUGGCUGUCAUAAAGACCUGGCAGGCAAUUUGUUGACCCAACAUGGCUUUCACAUAUUGAGUCAUUGUGUCUUUUCCCAAAAAGAUAGCAAGGCUAAGUGUCAACUUUGAAAGAAAAAUCAUUUGUGAUUUCAAAUAGCUUUGCAAACACCUUCCUUUUGUUCUGUUACCUUGAUAAUGUACUCUGCUCUGAUAAUAUAAAGUCUGUGCUUCAGAG